rnacentral:rRNA from 1 species
AGAUUGAACGCUGGCGGCAGGCCUAACACAUGCAAGUCGAGCGGCAGCACGGGUACUUGUACCUGGUGGCGAGCGGCGGACGGGUGAGUAAUGCCUAGGAAUCUGCCUGGUAGUGGGGGAUAACGCUCGGAAACGGACGCUAAUACCGCAUACGUCCUACGGGAGAAAGCAGGGGACCUUCGGGCCUUGCGCUAUCAGAUGAGCCUAGGUCGGAUUAGCUAGUUGGUGAGGUAAUGGCUCACCAAGGCGACGAUCCGUAACUGGUCUGAGAGGAUGAUCAGUCACACUGGAACUGAGACACGGUCCAGACCUUCCGUACGG